UUCGUGAUAGCUCAGUUGGUAGAGCAGCCUCCUUUUAAGAGGCAGGUCACUGGUUCAAGUCCAGUUCACGGCA
rnacentral:tRNA from 1 species